rnacentral:rRNA from 1 species
GACGAACGCUGGCGGCGUGCUUAACACAUGCAAGUCGAACGGAAAGGCCCUGCUUUUGUGGGGUGCUCGAGUGGCGAACGGGUGAGUAACACGUGAGUAACCUGCCCUUGACUUUGGGAUAACUUCAGGAAACUGGGGCUAAUACCGGAUAGGAGCUCCUGCUGCAUGGUGGGGGUUGGAAAGUUUCGGCGGUUGGGGAUGGACUCGCGGCUUAUCAGCUUGUUGGUGGGGUAGUGGCUUACCAAGGCUUUGACGGGUAGCCGGCCUGAGAGGGUGACCGGCCACAUUGGGACUGAGAUACGGCCCAGACUCCUACGGGAGGCAGCAGUGGGGAAUAUUGCACAACGGGCGGAAGCCUGAUGCAGCAACGCCGCGUGCGGGAUGACGGCCUUCGGGUUGUAAACCGCUUACGCCUGUGACGAAGCGUGAGUGACGGUAAUGGGUAAAGAAGCACCGGCUAACUACGUG